GCCGAGAUAGCUCAGUUCGGUAGAGCAGUGGACUGAAAAUCCAUGUGUCCCGAGUUCAAUUCUCGGUCUCGGCACCA
rnacentral:tRNA from 1 species